rnacentral:rRNA from 1 species
AUUGAACGCUGGCGGCAGGCCUAACACAUGCAAGUCGAACGAGUGGCGGACGGGUGAGUAAUGUCUGGGAAACUGCCUGUUGGAGGGGGAUAACUACUGGAAACGGUAGCUAAUACCGCAUACCAUCGGAUGUGCCCAGAUGGGAUUAGCUAGUAGGUGGGGUAAAGGCUCACCUAGGCGACGAUCCCUAGCUGGUCUGAGAGGAUGACCAGCCACACUGGAACUAGGCCACGGUCCAGACUCCUACGGGAGGCAGCAGUGGGGAAUAUAGCACAAUGGCGGCAGUCCUGAUGCGGCAAUGCCGCGUGUAUGAAGAAGGCCUUCGGGUUGUAAGGUACUUUCAGCGGGGAGGCGUUACCCGCAGAAGAAGCACCGGCUAACUCCGUGCCAGCAGCCGCGGUAAUUC